CCUACGGGAGGCAGCAGUGAGGAAUAUUGGUCAAUGGACGAGAGUCUGAACCAGCCAAGUAGCGUGAAGGAUGAAUGCCCUAUGGAUUGUAAACUUCUUUUGUAUGGGAAUAAAAUGUUCCACGUGUGGGUUUUUGUAUGUACCAUAUGAAUAAGGAUCGGCUAACUCCGUGCCCGCAGCCGCGGUAAUACGGAGGGUCCGCGCGUUAUCCGGAUUUAUUGGGUUUAAAGGGUGCGUAGGUGGACUGGUACGUCAGUUGUGAAAGUUCGGGGCUCAACCGUGACAUUGCAGUUGAAACUGGCAGUCUUGAGUACAGGAGAGGUAGGCGGAAUUCGUAGUGUAGCGGUGAAAUGCUUAGAUAUCACGAAGAACUCCGAUUGCGAAGGCAGCUCACUGGACGGCAACUGACGCUGAGGCUCGAAAGCGUGGGUAGCAAACAGGAUUAGAUACCCUAGUAGUC
rnacentral:rRNA from 1 species